rnacentral:rRNA from 1 species
UAGCUACCACUUACAGAUGGACCCGCGGCGCAUUAGCUAGUUGGUGAGGUAACGGCUCACCAAGGCAACGAUGCGUAGCCGACCUGAGAGGGUGAUCGGCCACACUGGGACUGAGACACGGCCCAGACUCCUACGGGAGGCAGCAGUAGGGAAUCUUCCGCAAUGGACGAAAGUCUGACGGAGCAACGCCGCGUGAGUGAUGAAGGUUUUCGGAUCGUAAAACUCUGUUGUUAGGGAAGAACAAGUACCGUUCGAAUAGGGCGGUACUUGACGGUACCUAA